rnacentral:rRNA from 2 species
GGAUUAUUGGGCGUAAGCGCGCGCAGGCGGUUUCUUAAGUCUGAUGUGAAAGCCCACGGCUCAACCGUGGAGGGUCAUUGGAAACUGGGGAACUUGAGUGCAGAAGAGAAAAGCGGAAUUCCACGUGUAGCGGUGAAAUGCGUAGAGAUGUGGAGGAACACCAGUGGCGAAGGCGGCUUUUUGGUCUGUAACUGACGCUGAGGCGCGAAAGCGUGGGGAGCAAACAGGAUUAGAUACCCUGGUAGUCCACGCCGUAAACGAUGAGUGCUAAGUGUUAGAGGGUUUCCGCCCUUUAGUGCUGCAGCUAACGCAUUAAGCACUCCGCCUGGGGAGUACGGUCGCAAGACUGAAACUCAAAGGAAUUGACGGGGGCCCGCACAAGCGGUGUAGCAUGUGGUUUA